rnacentral:lncRNA from 1 species
GGGCUGCAUUGCAGGCUGAACUGCUAGCAAACUACACUCUCCUCUACUUUUUCACUGGCAUGGAUCACAUACCUCUGAGAUAUCUCCAUCUAGAUCUAAAAUCAGACCAUGCUUGCUUAGCUCCUUCAUCCCAUGAUCUCCCAUGUGGCCUAGGCGGUAGUGCCACAACCGGUGAGCCCCCUACUGUCCUGCACUGCUGUUGAUGCAUCAAAUUUCUCAGUCACCAC